rnacentral:lncRNA from 1 species
CUCCUCUGAGAAAUUUGUCUGUUCCUGUAUAGUUUCUCCUUGGAUCUGUUAACAAUUCACAUAGUCGCUGAAUAGUAAAAGGGAUACGGUUAAAUCCAGUGACAGUUUUCAGUAUUCUUCCCUUUGUUUCAUCAAAGGGAAUAUAUUCGACUUUAGGGUUGGGAGGACCUCUUGGCGCAGGAGCUGAAGUUCUGAAAUCAUCUAUCACUUUCUCCAGUUUGAAAAUAAAAUAGCCUUUAAAUUGGGACCACUGAAUCUGUUUCUCCAGUCUUGGCUACAUGACAAAGGAACUGAUCCAGGACAGGACAGACUUUCUUUUUUGCCUCUUCUCAAAAUCUUCCAGCGCCUCCUGGAGCCUGUCGACGUCCAUGGCUUCCCAGAGUCCCUCACAGCCUCCGUCUCCCUCCGCGGGUCUCUUGGGGACCGGAACGCCUCCCCCCACCCCCCGACAUCCUCCCACUCCCUCGCACACCCUCCAGCACGCAGGCCAAGUGGGGUGGGGGGGAACGAAGGGAGCCAGGGGAAGCGUGUGAGAGAGUGAGACCGACAGAGUGAGCACCUCCCCAAGCCGCUACCACCAGCCCUCCAACAUGGCGCCUGGCACAUCACCCUAAAAAGUCAUUUCUUGGAGAAGCGAUGGAUGACAGAGAUUAAUCUGAGAGUUACUAUUAAUGGAGAAACUUAGAACUUACCAUUUUUCCUGUGAGGUUUCGGUGCUGAUACUUCUAUUCUGUGAGUUCUGGCAAUUGUGUCCGUUCACCCAGCCUGGUGAUGCAGCAGGUGUCACAGAAGGACCCUGUCCCAGCUGGUCCUGCUCCACUGCUAGGAUGGUGUGGCCUCUGAUCUGUGACCGUGUCUUGAGGGGAGACCAGGCCCUUGAUCACAAGCGUAUCCAUGGUGAGGUUCCGUGGAUGGAAGCUCAUGGAUGUUCCUUCCUGAUGUUCAUCUGCCACCAUGCUAUUGAAUGCAUCUUGUUUAUAACUGUCUUCUAAAUAUUGAAUAGAAAUAAAGCAUUUGUACAGUA